rnacentral:rRNA from 1 species
AUACGGAGGGUGCAAGCGUUAAUCGGAAUUACUGGGCGUAAAGCGUACGUAGGCGGUUCGUUAAGUUAGAUGUGAAAGCCCCGGGCUUAACCUGGGAACUGCAUUUAAAACUGGCGAACUAGUGUUGAGUAGAGGGGAGUGGAAUUUCAGGUGUAGCGGUGAAAUGCGUAGAGAUCUGAAGGAACACCAGUGGCGAAGGCGACUCCCUGGACUCGAACUGACGCUGAGGUACGAAAGCGUGGGUAGCAAACGGGAUUAGAUACCCUAGUAGUCC